rnacentral:rRNA from 1 species
CAGUAGCCACGGGAAUACGGAGGGUGCAAGCGUUAAUCGGAAUUACUGGGCGUAAAGCGCACGCAGGCGGUCUGUCAAGUCAGAUGUGAAAUCCCCGGGCUUAACCUGGGAACUGCAUUUGAAACUGGCAGGCUAGAGUCUUGUAGAGGGGGGUAGAAUUCCAGGUGUAGCGGUGAAAUGCGUAGAGAUCUGGAGGAAUACCGGUGGCGAAGGCGGCCCCCUGGACAAAGACUGACGCUCAGGUGCGAAAGCGUGGGGAGCAAACAGGAUUAGAUACCCGAGUAGUCCCUGUCUCUUAUAC